rnacentral:siRNA from 1 species
AUGCUCGAAUGUCUGGUUGAGUGU